AUUGAAAGCUGGCGGCAGGCCUAACACAUGAAAGUCGAACGAGUGGCGGACGGGUGAGUAAUGUAUGGGAAACUGCCUGAUGGAGGGGGAUAACUAAUGGAAACGGUAGCUAAUACCGCAUACCAUCAGAUGUGCCCAGAUGGGAUUAGCUAGUGGGGGGGGUAAGGGCUCACAAAGGCGACGAUCCCUAGCUGGUGGGAGAGGAUGACCAGCCACACUGGAACUGAGACACGGUCCAGACUCCUACGUGAGGCAGGAGGGGGGAAUAUUGCACAAUGGGCGCAAGCCUGAUGCAGCCAUGCCGCGUGUAUGAAGAAGGCCUUCGGGUUGUAAAGUACUUUCAUCGGGGAGGCGUUACCCGCAGAAGAAGCACCGGCUAACUCCGUGCCAGCAGCCGCGGUAAUAC
rnacentral:rRNA from 1 species